rnacentral:rRNA from 1 species
UAAUACGUAGGGGACGAGCGUUGUCGGAAAUUACUGGGCGUAAAGGGAGAGUAGGCGGCAUGGUAAGUUAGAUGUGAAAGCCCGAGGCUUAACCUCGGGAUUGCAUUUAAAACUAUCAAGCUAGAGUACAGGAGAGGCAAGUGGAAUUCCCGGUGUAGCGGUGAAAUGCGUAGAUAUCGGGAAGAACACCGGUGGCGAAGGCGACUUGCUGGGCAGCAACUGACGCUGAGGCGCGAAAGCCAGGGGAGCAAACGGGAUUAGAUACCCCGGUAGUCCUGGCCGUAAACGAUGAAUGCUAGGUGUGCGUGUAGAGAUACAUACGUGCCGGAGUUAACGCGAUAAGCAUUCCGCCUGGGGAGUACGGUCGCAAGAUUGAAACUCAAAGGAAUUGACGGGGGCCCGCACAAGCGGAGGAGCAUGUGGUUUAAUUCGAUGAUACGCGAGGAACCUUACCUGGGCUCGAACGUAAGAUGACUGUAGGUGAAAGCUUACCUCUUCGGAGCAUUUUACGAGGUGCUGCAUGGUUGUCGUCAGCUCGUGCCGUGAGGUGUCGGGUUAAGUCCCAUAACGAGCGCAACCCCUACCUUUAGUCGCCAUCAGGUCAUGCUGGGGACUCUAAAGGAACUGCCUACGCAAGUAGUGAGGAAGGCGGGGAUGACGUCAAAUCAGCACGGCCCUUACGUCCAGGGCUACACACGUGCUACAAUGGCCGAUACAGAGGGCAGCUACCUGGUGACAGGAUGCAAAUCUCCAAAGUCGGUCUCAGUUCGGAUCGGAGUCUGCAACCCGACUCCGUGAAGUUGGAUUCGCUAGUAAUCGCGCAUCAGCCAUGGCGCGGUGAAUACGUUCCCGGGCCUUGUACACACCGCCCGUCAAGCCAUGGAAGCUGGGGGGACCUAAAGUCGAUAACCGAAGGAGUCGCCUAGGGUAAAACCAGUGACUGGGGCUAAGUCGUAACAAGGUAACC